UUUCUCGACAGCCUCCUAGAGCUGCUGAGAACAGGCAGGGUCGUGCUGUAGCUUUGGUUCUAGAGCGUGUUAAAGGGAUUGCUUCAUCUGUCACUGUAACAUAGAGCUACAGCUGUGAAGAAGCACUUAGUGAUGUAAUCAUGCCCAACUUGAUUAUCUGCCAGUUUUAUCAUCUGAUCUCGUUCUUACUGAAGUAAGGAAACAUAGUUUUUGAAUUAAAAUGGGUUUGAAUUUUUUAAGAAGUUCUAUCCUAAAUACAGUGUGUCUAUGUGUGUGUCUUAAAGAUCAAAAAGUUAAGCUUUUGUAUUUUGUUUUUUAAAAGGGAUGUUGCAGUGUUGACUGUGCAGUUUAAAUUGUGCUGUUCGUUUGUACUAAGGUUGAGUGAGCUCCCCUGCCUAUCUUUUAAAACUAAAAUAUUGACAGUAAUGUAAUCAAAGUCCUUACUUUUUAUAGAAGGUUUCCUGAGGCUGUCCCACAGAAACCUAUUAAAUCUGAAAAAGAAAAGAAAAUGUCGUCUCAAAGGGCUGACUUAGGGGACGCAGGAAAAUCCACAUCUCCGCUGAAUCUCUCAUUCUGGAUGUGAAACUAGCACGGACUUUGUGAGCAUUUCCUUGUUUCUUUGCAUGUGCUUAUUUCCCAGCAUGUAUACAGAGGAGUGUACUGGGAGACACUAGAGCUGCUAAUGGCCUUAUCGCUUUUGUAUUUUUAAUAUUUAAAACCGUCCAUAAGGCCUCUUCCUGCCAAGACUUCUUGUGUUUGAACCUUUAGCAUUCCUAGUGUCAAGACCCUCUUCUCUGAAUGAACUGAUUUGUCAAACAUACGGAUUCGUUUGAAAAAAUUCUAAAGAAGCAAUUUGAAGUUUUAAAAAAAUGUUAACAUAUUUCAUAGCUGUGGUGUGUGCUGACUGGAGGGACUGGUGGUGUAAGGCCUUUGAUGCAGCGUUUCUUCAUUAGCUGACUCCAUGUGCUACAUUUAUUCUAGGCUGGGAUACAUUCUAACCUCUAAAGUAUCAGAUACACUCAUCACAGAAAAAUGUUCCGUUGUUUGACACUUCUGUCAAAACUUUUAGGGAGAACACUCAAUUUGCAUGAGGGUCUGUAAAUAAAUCAUAAGCGUUUGUAAAUAGUCUUCUAUUUGCUCAGUUGUUACAUCUACUUUAAAAUAUCUUUCUAGCUGAAAGCCAUUCUAGAGAUUGCUCAAAUUAAUUGUAGAAAGUGCUCUUAAAAAAAAAAGGGAAAAAAACCCAAAGUGCGCCCAGUGGCAUGGCUCCUGCUUCAUAUGGCUUACUUGCUAUUUGUGACCCCAGCAAACACACUAAAAGGAGUAUCCCUCAUUCCACAGUCAUAGGCAAAAGUCCUUGAAGGUGUGAUAACGAGGUUUGUGGAGGUCGGGCUGGGUACUGACCUUUCCUAAAUGCUUCCAACUCUCCAUUGUGUUCUUUAUAUUAAUAAGUUAACCGACCCAUGAAUAUGCCAGUUCUGCUCCUCUUUCUUCCUACCUGUCCUGCACAUGCCCUGAGCUCAGGGCACAGGUGUCCUUGCUUGUCUUGUUUUAUUCUGUACCCUGAUCUGCCUUGAGGGGGCCACGUGUUCCCCCACAGAAGAGGGAAGUUCAAUGGGUAGUGAAUUGUUGUUCUUUCAGAUGCAGAGUUCUUUAGCCCAGGUGUUUCAGGAGGGAGAGAGAACGCAAGGAGUGUUCAGUGACCUUCACACUCCCCGUACCGUGUGGUUUGCUAUUGGCAGAACAGUCUGUGCUUCCAGCGGGACCUGCCUGCCAACCCUACAGUGGUUACACAGCUGUCUGAGUUUCCUUUACAUGGUGUUUUUUGGACAGUCUUUCUCUUGCAGGUGGAAUAAUUUUCUGUGUCAGGAAUCUUCCACAUGUGUAACUGAAGAUGAUUUUUUUGUUUACCUUUAAUCUGUGGCCCAUCACCUUAUUUUCCUCCCUCUGCAUACAUGAAGAGGUCCUUGUCAUGUCCUGUUUGGACUGGGCACAGGCCAAAGGGUUUUCACCAUAACAGAAACCUACUGCUGUGUGUAAAAACACAAUCCUUGAUGCAGAAGAGCUUCCAGCCUAUGGUUGCUGCUCAGAGGCAGAGGAUGGGACAUGCAGCCAUGCUCGGUGAGGUGGAGCGAGUGGUCGAGACAACACAGCAACUUAAAGGAUCGAGUCCAGAAGAAGGAAGCCUGUGAUACAUAUUGCUGUAGGAUACAGUUGUGGAGACUUUUCCCUUGGUUGGGAAGUUCCAUGGCUGCUGUGCAGAGUCAGGUUUGCUGUUAAAUACAGGAAUUCUGCCACUCUGAGUCAAUAAACAAAUAUUUGUUCUGUUGCCUCAGUUUCCCCAGCAAUCCAGUGGUCACACUAGGACUGUGGCUCUGGAGACUUCUGGUUUGCAGGCUAAUUGUUGUCUUGAGUUGAUUUGAUUUUAUUGAAAUAUAAGUAAUAUGAACAAGCUGUUAUGAGUUUAUAACAAUAUCUCCUAUACAUAGCUGCAUUGUCAAAGCAGAUGGUGCUAUCUCUGGCUCCAGAAUUACAGUAAGGCUGAGAACAUGUUUGUUGCUUCAGUGUUAAUCCUGGAAACAAAGUAGUAAUCUAGGAAUUCUUCAUACUUGGUAAGAGGCAAAAUCUGGUGUGGAAAGAUCCCAAAAUCUGGAGUUGGUACUAUAUUGUCUUCUGGUUUAGAUCUCUAAUGUUUCCAGACUGUGACAAAAUUGUUUGAUCUUUCCUUUGUUAUUCUGUUUUCAUAAUAGUUAAUUUCUUAAUCUGCUUUCCUAAAGCUGUAGAGAAAACCAUUGCAGCCUCCACUUACACACUGGCUCUUCUGGCUGUUUGUGGCUGUGUAAUGUAGAGUUGGGCAGGGUCUGAGCAAUUUUCUUCUUACUGUUCUUGUGGUGCAAAGAAGGAAAACAACGUUCUGUUAUGAAGAAUGAAAACAUUUCCAACAUCGUGUUGAAAUAGGUGUCAUCUAGGCUUGUUUUUUUAUUAUAAACUGCUCAGAAUAUCCUGUAACACUUCAUCUAAGUUAAAUCCCUUACAGAGUGCGGUUCCCAUAUGUUGUGUAGUGUAGUUGUAGUGUAGUGGGACAGCCCAAUUCAUGCUGUUUUCCAAACCUCCAUUGUGUUUGUGUCAGUGCACAAGCAGAUGCCUUGGAAAAUACUUAAGAGCAGGAUAAGUAUGUAACAACACUUCCCUCACUUUUCCAGUGAUCCCCUUCAUUUCUGAACAUUUGUGAACUUUUGUAUCCUAAGGCAAUGAGUUCUACAGUGUAAUUACAUGUUGCAGUUUCAUUUGACAUCCCGUAGCUCUUGUAUUAUGAGAGCUAUUGAACACUUGUUUCCUAUCUAACUUUUCUGUGACUCGUAGUCACGGAAAAGGGAGCAUACUUAUUCCUUUGUUAAUAAUGCCUAGCUUUUGAUUACUUUUUUUUUUAAAGCUGCUAAUGAAGACUGAGUCUAUGUGUUUACAGAGCUGUCAAUUGUAACUUCAAAUCUCAUUCCUGAGUGGUAAUGUAAGUUUCAAAGUCAAUCACUGUGUGUAGAAAGUUAGGAUCAUCUUUCCCUGUGUGCAUUACUUUGUAUUUACCAGUCUGGCGUUUUAUCUGGGCUUCUAUCAGAGUCACUCUAACACUGAGAACUCUGCAAUUCUCUGCAGUCAUUUUUUAUUGUUAUAGAUGCUUUAUAAACAUAAGCAGACUUUGUCAUCUUGGUUGUCACCCUUUUUGCAGAUGAUUUAUGAAUAUGUUGAACAGUUCAGCCUUUAGCAGAAAUCUAUGCUAUGAUCUCUACGUGAUUGCUGCUUGAGCAGUGGGACCACACUGGAGAAUUCCUGGAUUAGAUGGUGGGUUUAUUUUUGUAGCAUUCAUUUCUGAACAUUUAACCAAUUUGACUUGUACAUUUCUGUCCCCUGGCACAUUACGUUUGUGAGAACUUUCACUGGUAUAUGUGAUCAGAAGCCUUAUGGAAAUCCAGCAAGGCUAUAUCAGGCAUAUAUUUCUUGUUCAUAUGCUGUGUGACUAUUUCUGAGAGCUUUAGUAGCUUGGGAGUCAUGAUUUUUCUUCUAGAAACAUGGUGUUAACUCUUCCUCCAUAUGUUCUGUUCAUGCAUGUGUCCCCAGAUUUCCCUUAUCACUUCUGGCAGUUCUGCUGCAGCGGAAGCCUAAGGUUUCUGGUCUGUAUUUCUUUAAAUUAUCUCCUGAGAUAAUUUAAUUGGUUGCUUGACAACAUAGCAUCAGUCUCGUUCUUCUGCACUGGAGAUACGAUAGUGUUCUUGCUCGGCUUAAGAAUACUUACAUGUUUAGACUGAGAAAAAGGAUCUGUCAGCAGCGGAUUACAGGUUUCCACCUAUGUUAUUUUCAGGCACCUUGUUAAGGUGUACCAAUUACAUUACUCAUAGAAAUGAGGUUUCCAAAUGGAGCAUUCAAAUGUUGGGAAACGGCAGGUUUACAGUUUGUGGUACUUGUCAUGUACAGAAUGAGGAGGGAGCUCUCUAGAAAAUAAGAAUGUGGUUGUGCAAGUGAUGGCUCUAAAGCCUGGGAGCAUACGAAGAGGCAGAACUGAACCUAUUCAUGCAGGUUCUGCCUGGUGUUUCUUAACGUGAAAGCCUGAUCUUGAUAUUAAUUCAUUUUCUCAGCAACCUACUGCUCUCUGACCAAAAAUAAGAUGAACAAUAUUCUCUUCUGUAAAAUACUGAUGAACCACUCCCCCAUCACACAUAUCUAGAUCUUGAGCUUUCAAUAUGUAGUGGGUGUUUUUGCCUGAGUAAUUUAAUUUAUAGGUGGCAACAGAAGACUUACCGUGGAGGGAACGAUCUGUCAGUGCCCUAUGCUGAGAGUUGGCGGGAGAUGGGAGGAGGUUUUACCCAGGACCAGUUUCCACUCUGAUGCAGUGGAUGCUGAUGUUGGUGCUUUGACAGAGUUACAGCCCCAACUCCAUAACAUUUAUAACAUUGGUUCUUACUUCAGCAUGGUCACAAAGUUUGUGGGAUAGUCAAAAGCCAGUUCCUCUGCUUGAAGGUCUUUUCUGCCUUGCAAAGGCUUCCUGUAAAUAGCGGCUUUGCAUUUAGCCAGUCGGGAUUGUUCAGUAAGUGGUAGUAAUGCUCAGUUUUCUUUCUUUGGGAAAAACAAACAAACAAACAGGCAACUUUUGUUAAGCUUGUGGGGACCCACAGUUUCUCAUGGAUGGGUAAACUGAUGAAAAAGUUGGUUUUCUAUAUUUGACACAGGAAAGAAAUAAAAAUAAUGAGAAAUGGAACUUGUUUUUAAAACCACUUUUCCAGUUUAAGUUCUGUUUUUCUUUAAAAUUUCUGUGCCUUUCCUCACCCUUUCAGAGGAGUGCACAAGGGAAGGGAAGGUUUUAUACCCUUCUGGAGAAAACAGAACUAGAACUGAACUUUCAGUUACCUUCAUUUAAUGUUUUUUCUGCCAUUGAAAAGUGUGUCAAACAUUUUUUUCCUAGAGAAAUAGCAAGAAUUUUUGAUUAAAUAAAAUUCCUAGUGGGAACAUCUGUGUUGAAAAAUUCACUAGCUUUAUUAAGACUCCUGAUUAUACUGGGUUGUUAACUUUACACUGUAAUAUAUGUAAUACAAAGAUACCUUCCCUUGCGGUGCACACAGAUGUGCUGCUUAGUCAUACUUUGCAGUUUGUUUUGAUGGGUUUUUGUUGUUUUUGUUUUGUGUGUGUUUUUGUUGUUUUCUUUUUCUUUUCUUUUUUUUUUUUCAGUACGAGAACUUAGAGGCUACAAAAUUCUGAGCUUAAACUUCUUUGAAUAAAAGUUUGUAAUACUAUGAAAGAUGGCUACAAGCUUAUACGCAGCUGGGGGUGCACUCUAGACCCAGACUCCAAUGGCAGAAGAAAAUAAAAGAUCUCUUCCUUCUUAGCUGUUCUUCUGGCUUUUUUUCCUCUUGUCUGAUGUACAGAUGGGCUUAGGCUGAAGCCCAAAGGGUGAAUUUGCUUGUGACCUGUCUGGGUCAGAUUUGAGCUGAUGAGCCUUGUGCUGGAAUCCUGCUGAGCUCCCAGGUGAGCUGGGCAGCCCUCAGGGUGCUGCUUAGAAGUGCUGGUGUUCUCUGGUUGAAUGCCAUUUGCUAUUUCACUGUACAAUCAUUUAUAAACUUCUUUAAAAUAAUAUAUUGGAUUAGCACUGUAUGAUAAAUCAUAAGCCUGGGGGUACCUAGAAUGUCAUUGGGAGGUUGUUAAAUUAUUUAUGAUGAUUGUGGAUUUAUUCUUAGAUAGUUGAUUCUGUCAAGAUAGUCUAGGAGCAUUUUGAGAAUGCUAUGCUUUAAAAUUAAUAUGUUAAACAUAUAAAAGAUUUUUUUCUAUCAGUGGUAGAGAAGUUAAAUAUGUUAUGUCAAUAUUAGAAGGAUUAUCUGUGUAUAUUAAGUGAAGCAGAGGGCUUUCUGGUUGGCAAAGGUAAUAAAGCAAGCUGACAGCUGAAUACAGACAAACUGCACAGGUCAUUUUUAUUUUGCUAAACAGUUGCCUGUGACUGCAUAAGUUUUCCUGCUAAGGUUACUGGACAGAUUCUACACACACACACACACACACACAUUUCUCUCCCUGUCUCCUGUUUCUCCAGAUGCUGUGGCACAUAACUUGUGGGAUUUUUCCUUCCUAAUACUGAAGUGAAACUGGUGAACAAGCUUGUGGCAGCGUGCGCUUCUGGAGAUGGGUGGUUCUGUAACAGAGUGGUGACCAGGCUGCUCAUGAGCCUUGAAUGACAGGGAAGUCACUGUGAUAUGGUAGUGUUGUUUCUCUGUGGGAAGUGGCAGGCCUGAUCUUGAACAUGCCUUUGGAAGUCCUGGCCUUGGGGAGAGUUGUCAUUGGCCCCUCAAAUCAGAAGAUGAGCUUUGAUGUGCAGAAGGCUUUCGGCAUCUCUGGCCCCAGAGCAGCGCGUUGCUCAGGGGCAGUGGAACAGAGUUUGCACGGUUGUUCUGCACCAUCCAGAGUUCCAGCCCUUAUCAGAAUAUAAGCUUAGAACAACUUAACCGACAGCUACUCCCACAGCAGCUGGAUGUUUGCAUGUCUUCUUUGCUUCUCCUUCUGACUACCUUGUCUUCAUAGUGUUCUUGUGGAUCUGAUGAGAGUGUCGGUAAUUCUGCUGCUGUCACCGUUGACAGGAGGAGGUCAGCUGAGGGAGUCUCGAGGUCACAGGUGGGCCUGAAAGACCUUCUGUGAGAGGAAGGGAGAGAGGAGACACAAGGUGUCCUGUGUGACAUGAGCUCCAUCAGCAAAUGUGUGGAUUGGCAGAGUGAAUUUUGAUGUAGUGGAAUGACUUUCGUGUUAGGUGUGCUGAGCUGCUGGGAGGAGGGAGGCCCUCGCAGUAGGAAUUCAUUAAGAGGCCCUCUGCGACUCUGUAUGACUGCGGUACUCGGCUGGCUGGCUUGGGAGGUGGGUUGGUUUUCUAGAAACAAGAGGCCAACAAAAUGCAAAACUCGGUCUUGUCAAAAGUUAUUUCUCCUUGGUAAAAUGAGUAGCUACAACAUCAGCUGCUCUGCCUGGUCCAAGUAACCAGUUCCCCCGUCAUUAUAAGGAAGGUGAGUUCUGAAUUUUACUUAAACAAGCUCUCUGCAAAUUAAUAUUCAAGUGAAUUGUGUUGGAUCCUCAUAUACCCAAUGCUGGCUUGUCGCCUGAAGAAAACAAGCCAGGCUGGCUCCAUGGGAACCUGUGACAGAUGACAUUGAACUUAAUUUCCUAUUUUGCUUGGGCAAAAUCGUCCUUAUAAAAGCAUCUUCUGAAGUUCUUUAGACUUUGAAUGAACUCGUUGAUGCUAGGGCUGGAAAUAACUUGAGCUGAUAGUUGUGAUAAAUGUUAUUGCCUGUAGCAAAAGUAUCUUUUGCCUCAGAUGCUGUUGUGUGGUUGUAACUCAUGUGAUCUCUCAGCCCUUGUCUUCAUAACUUGUGCCUGUUCACCAGCGUUUCAUUCACUUUUUCUUUACAGGCAGUUUUGUUGGCAGUUUAUACGCCAGUGUAAUUUAAAAACUCAAUAAAAAUGCUUUUUACACAAAUAUUAUUCUAUAAAACAGUCCCAUUUCUUCAGGGCAAUUCCUCAGAUUCUUAAUGAGCCACGCAGAUCCCAUAUUAGAUCAUGGCUUCUUCUAAAGGUUUUAUAACUACAUUCAGAUGCUUUGUUUGGUGUGUAAUCGGUUUUAAUAAUAGGUAUGUAACCAUUCACGGAUGAGAAGAAAUUCUAUGGAAGAAACUAGCAGGGACUAUAGAAACUUGAUUAGGAUGUAUAAACAUUUUUCUAAAUACCUAUAAAACAUAAAAAUCUGAAUUGCUUUAUAGCUCUUUUCAGUCAUAGCUGAGAAAGUAGAAGAUUCAAUAUUUAACUUGAAGGCUUUUCCCACAGGAGACUCUGCAGUACAUGCUGCACCAUGCAGGGUGAGGGUCUCUCCGUAUCUCUGUGGGACACGGGGUGCCGGGGUGGUGUCACCACAUGGGUGUCGCUGUGGCAUCUCAUAUGGGAUGUGUGUGCAGGAAGGUGAUUUGAACAGAAGUCUGUCUUGGAUCGCUCACAGAAAAUGUACUUGAAUUAACAUACUUAUUUCUUUUGUUUUAAAUAUUUUUUCUGUUUCACUUGUCAAUGAUUUUAUAUUUCACUUUGGUGUCUUAAUAUUCUGUAAGGCAUUUUGUUAAUUACUUAAGGUUUUGACCUUAAGAUAUACAGUAUAAGCAGCAGUGUGUCCAGUUCAGGUUGAAAUUUUCUAUUUAAAAAAAAGAACGAAUGUUCAAAUGCUUAUAGCUUUGUCAAAUUUAAGCAAUUUAGGCUUAGGGCAAAUGGUAGUAUUUUGUGUGUGCCUAGUGGUUUAUUUUCUUUUUUAAGGGAUAGAUUUGGAGAGUAGGAAGAAAGGGAUUAUAAAAGGCAAGAACAUGUUGUUCUCUCCCUCCUUUAAAACUUCUUUAUGAGAUUUUAUUUUGAGAUACUAAAGCAUGUUUAUAAUCUGACGUGGGGAUGUGAAAUCUAUAAAAGAACUUUACUAACUGUGGAAUUGCUUUUUGUGUAAUUUUGAAAAUCCAUCCAGAAGUGACCAAAAUGUCAGUCUGUGGAAAGCCCACUUUCACAAACAAACCGAUGCUGGGACGUGCUGAGAGCUGCUCUGAAGCCGCAGUCCGAGUGACCCCGUCCACCCACAGUCCACAUGCUGAGCAGAUCCUGCAAGCGGAAUGAGAACAUGAUGCGUCUUCUCUGUGGCGGUUUCUUAAAUAAAAAGGCAUUACUGUUUCUAAGGCAGAAAUGUCAUGAAGAGGUUUGUGCUUCUUCGUAUGAAGUUCACCAGCAGCUCAUCCAUAAUGUGUGGGAGAUCCCCCUGUGUUGGUGCUGCUCUCCCCGGGUUCGAGGGCACUUUGGUGCAUCCAGUGCUGCUCCCGCCGCCCCCAGCGUCCCCAUCCCGGCUUCAGCUCGUGGCCUCUGUCCUGCUGCAGUGCCCGACUUACAUCAUCUCUAUUUCCACAUCACCAAAAUGGGUUUAAUGUUUGUAUAUUUUUUAAAUGUACUGCACAGAUUUAGUUUCUGCUUGUAAAAGCCUUUGAUAUGUGUUUUCUGUAAACUGAGAUUAGCAGCAGGAAAUACCUUAGACUUUUUGAGUGGUUUAUAGUUUUUAGUUAUAUCUUUGUCCAACUCAAGAAGGUUAAACUGUGAGAUAGUAUUGUUGUGUUUCUGGAUCAAAAUUCUUCAGGAAAAAGCCUUAGUUUUCACCCAAUAGCCCAGCAUAUGAAAGACAAGUCUUUCAUUUUUUCAGUAGCCUUGCCCCAUCCCUGGUCUUGCUUUUGAUUUUCGAACACAAGACAGCCUUUUUCCCUGGAGAGACCUGGACACACAACUUCCUUAAUUCAAAGCCAGAACAAUCAGUUGGGAAACAUAUGUCGGUAACAGAUCCGACUGCAGCAAAAUCUCUCUUUGUUAACUAGAUGACAGUGUCAGUUGGGAAGCGUAACAGGAAUAUAACACACAGCAUCCUCUGACACCUAAAAUGAACGUAACUGUGAAGAUCGCUCUUUUAAGAAAAACCCAGGCGUGCUUUGUUGAAUGUGGAUCCUUAAGACACGCCAGUCCACAAUGUGUGUGGACCAGUGGUGGGAUUUGGCCCCUAGCAAGAGGCUUCUCAAAGCCCCUGGAAUUUAGAAAAUCAUUUUGAUGCACUUUUUUCAGGCCAUAAACUGAACUACAGGGAAGAGCGGCUGCUUUCUUUAGGGCUUAUCUUUGGCAGCAGGUUUUUCUGUCUGCUGCUCUGACCUGGGCUUGCCUGGCGUGCUGGGUGUGUGACCUGCAUACCGGGUGUGUGUAGAGCUGUAUCAGCAGCUGCGCAGGUGCUGGGGAACAAAGCACCACGAAGGAAAAUGUCAAAAGCAUGUUUGAAAACACUGUAACUGCAGCAGUGGUUGGUUUGUUUUAUAAGCAUGUUGGUGUUGAGAGGAAAAGAGAAAACAAAGAUCCAGAGUGGCAGUGCAGCAUUAACUGCCCUUCUAUACCCUAAAAGAGGUUACUUACAGAUUGUUCAGAUGAAAGGUUGAUUUUAACAUUUGUUUUCCUUCUGUAGGAAUAAGGUUAUAACCAAUUACUCAUUGUUAAGUAAACUGAAAUAGGUGGAGAAUUAAUACUUCUUUUUAAAAUGGAAAAGUUUGACUGUUUAUUUUAUUUAUAAAAGUACGUAUCCUUUAAUCCUUUACCAUUCUGUGAGACCAAAGGAAAUUUUGUAAAGCACUACUUGAUUAUUUUAAGAAUACAUUGAAAACCUUAGGAAAGCAUCUCUUCAAACUCUAUCUGCAGUACUCCAGUGACACUAAGCUAUUUUUCAUACGAAGUCUAACAGAACAGAAGUGGCUUUUAUUCCAAUUACAGUUUGCAUAUUUAGUUUGCUCCUUUUUUUCGGUAGGAGUUAAAGCUUUUAAGUAAAUCAGCGCAAAAAAGGUUCAAGGCCAAUAUGUUUUGAAAGAAAUGACAACUUUGGUUUUUUUGAAGAAUCAUAGAAUUUCUUUCAUAAAUGUGUUUAAAUGUCAGCUGUUGACUAGCUCCAAUACACACUGUGAGAUAUUUGUCUGAAAAUCAGAAUAACAAAAUACAGCAGUUGGCCUAACCCAUUUCCAUUAUUGCCAGGUAGCAUAAAUAUUCUGUCAUUUUCAUCUAAACUUCUUGCCUUAUUUUAUUGGUAUUUAUUACAUAGCGUCAGACAGCUCACAAAAUAGGCUGUAUUGUGUUUUAGUUAGUGGUUCAGGGUUAUCAAACCUUUUUGGUUUUUGAGACAGAAAAACCAUCCAGCACUGUAUUGCACAUCUAGACUACUUUCAUAUAUGAAGUUGGGCUGAAAAUCUUGAAGAGUGGACUUUCCUGAAUCUUCAGACUUUCCCUAUCUCUGACCAGGUAAAAAACCUUUCAAAAACCAUUGUGUUUUGUAGUUAACGAAGGUUUAGGGCAAUGUCUUGUGUGCAUACUGUUCUCCCAGUCAUUAUUUUCAUUGCAAGUUGAUUCAAUUUUCCUGGGUCUUUACAAUUAAUUUUAUUGUAGGGAAAAAUGUGCCAUUGUGAUGUGAGAGAGGAGCAGGAGCCACAAAGCUGAACUGUUUCCUGGGUCUUCAAAAGAAGUUAAAACAUAGAUUUCCAAUCAUCUCCCAUCACCCUCCAUGGUUAGAGGAGGAGAAUUGCUAGUCCAGGCAGAGGGUGAAAAGCAGGGUCACCUCUCCUGUUAGUGCAACAUCCUUUUGCUAGUUAAUUACAAACCAGAGUAUCAUAAGGGGUUGGUACUAUUUCUGUUCAGUUGAAUUGCUCAGUUGAAAGCCUACGUGAUUUAAGGAGGAAAAAGAAAAAAGAGAAGGUGGAUAACCAGUGAUUAAUCUGGACCUUCCUUGUUGACGUAGAUUUGGAAAACAUCUGUAGACUGUUACUGCCAUUGUGAUUGAGCUGCAUGCAGAGAACUCCAUGGAAAUACCAGCUGCAAGUGCCUCUGAUAUAACACCUUAGAAAAGCAGCAGUUUGUGAACUGUGCUAGUAUGUACCUGCUAAUGCUGCAGUAUGGCCAUGCAAGUAUCCCAGAUGGAAAGUAUGCAAGAGCAAGUUAAUGUAUACAUACAUACAAACAAACAAACAAAUAUACCAGUAAAUAUCAGGGAGUUAUGGCAGCGACUCUUGUAUAUGCAGCCCCACUAUAGUCAUUGUUGCUUAUGCAAGAAAUUAUGUUCAUUUCCUUAUUCACUCUUUAGAACAAAUGGUUCAAAUUCUUAUGGUUACAUGUCACAGCUGCUUAUUCAGUGUUGAAAGAGUCAGAGCAGCCAGUAAAUUUAAACUGUACUUUAAGUAGCUGUAGAAAUCAAGUGGUCUGUGUAGCUUGGUGUACUGCUCUUAAGUUCACACAUGUAUACAAUUCCCAGCCACACUCUGUUCUUAUAGGCAAGGGCCUAGAUCUCCAGCUAUAUUUGGAAAGUGGUUUUGUAAUCUAAAUUUAUUAAUUUAUCACCUGUGCUUCCACACAUUGACUGAGGGUGGUGAUAUAUGUGUUGGAGUGUGAUGAUUUAGCUUUCUCUUGAGCCGUUCCUCUCCCUUCAUGUGAAUGUACUGCAAAAUAACUAUGCAUGCUGAUGGUUGACUCUAAGUUCAGUUAAAUCUUAUAUCUUGGAAGCUAUCUAACCCGCCUGCCUGGAUAAAGCGUGACUUCAGCCUUUUGUUUUAUUCUCUGUAUGGUCUUGAACAUGGCCCUAUUCCCAGAAAGGAAUACUUUACAAAAAUUCCCAGAGUGUAUGCCAGAACCUGUUCCACUCUGCAGCAAACCAUGUACUCCUGGACACUGCUCCUCUUCAUUUGUGGGACAGAGGAGCAACUUAGAUCAAGUACCAAAACCCAAGGAAAAUACACUCAAGUUUAAGCUAACUGUGAGAGAUGCUGACCGUUACAUUUUAAAUUGUCCACUUUCAGUAAGGUAGAAAUGCUGAAAGUGGGGAUCAGCUAGGAAAAAAAACAAACAGCAUGAGUUAUUUUUUUAUAUAUAUGUACAUAGAAUUAUGUACGUAAACCCCACACCAGUUCUUAAAUACAUAUUUAUAUGAGGAAGAAAAAAGGCUAAAAUUGUACCUACACAAAAAAUGAACUGUUGGACCCACAGCCUUACUGGAUAGAGGAGCUGCUAGAAAUUCUGGCAAGUAUUUGAGAUAAUAAAAGGCUGAUAAAGCUGAAAAAUCCAAGAUUUGCUGGACCAUCUAGGAAACAAAUCCUUCUUGCCUGCUUCGCAACCUGAAUGAUACGAACAGUAUCCUGAUCAGCGUCAUGCUGUUUAGGAAAAGGGACAACAGUGGACUGUGCUGUAUUUGUUCCUCCUUUAAAUGGGCAGGAAAGGGAAGCUGACAUCCACUCCUUCAGUUUGCAAUCCCAAAUUUAGCAAUAAUUUGGAAAAGCGGAAGAAUGUAAUUUUUAAACAUUUAGUUCCUGAUAGAACAAAUGAAUUCAUUCAGUAGAACUAGUUCUGUUUAGUGUGUAGCUCAGACCACUGCAAGGAAUUUAGGAAGAAACAAGCUGCGUAUUUAUCCUUGAGUGAAAAUAAGGAUAAAAUGGUCUUUUUUCACUAAUCCAGGCUAUAUCUUGAACUCUAGUGAGGAGUGUAUAUGAUCUCCAAACUUCCAGAGAGAAUCACAGGGGAAUUUCUGAUCACAUGGACAAUUUCUGAUUUUGUUACCUCUGCAUGAAAAUGGAGACAUAAUGAAAAAGCAGAAAACCCAUGAGCUGAUCUUACGCUGAAAGCAAGUCCCCUGUGGUUCUGAUGUGAGUUUGGACAUUCCUUCUGCUGCUCUGAUUUCUGGACAAAAUGACAUCUGAGAAACAGAGGGCCAUGCAGAGCUCUGCCUAAUCUCUUCUGUACAUCUGCAUGUAAUUUAGUUGAGUGUAAAGUUUGGGUUUGUCGGGUGAAAUCUGUCCUAGGGGUAGGCAGGGAUUGGGCUACCACCUCUGCUCAGAUUCUGCAUUUCCUUGAAAUGAUGGAAGAUAGCUCGUAAGUAACCAUCAAUUACUCUGGUCUGGUUACUCCAAGGCAGAUGUUCAGAGUGCUGGGAUUUUCUGGCCUUGAGACCUGGUUAGAGAGUUGAGGAAAUAGUUUGCAGUGGACUCAUUGACAAAGGGGCAGCUGCACGCAUUCAUGCAGUUCAGUGGUGCUUGGAUUUCUUUCUAUCAGAGAAAAUAUAGUUAGCAGUCAACCAGAAAAAGAGGUGAAAAUAAACACACUUAAUAGGACUUCUUUGAGAUGCUUUCUGCUUUUAAUUCCUCCCCUCCCAGGUGUAUAUGACCACUACUCUCUAAGAAAAGCCCAUCAGGAACAGUUCUGAGAGGUCUUUAGCUAUAGGGAAUGUUACAAAACAUGAAUAGAUUUCAAACUGUGAGGAUAAACCCAAGAGACUCUACUGAAGGAUCAUUUGUGUUCCAGUGAUGUUGUUGGCUCUGACAGCUGCAUCAAUCAUCUUGUGUUCCAUGGUGCCAGUCAGGGAGCUUUUUCUUACGGCAAUGAUAAGUUUAAUAGUUAAAUCAUAAUAGUUAUAUUGAGGUUAUUUCCAAACUUCUUCAUUUACUUUGUGAAAACUACUAAGUGGUAAGAAAUACGUUUUUAAUCUGUUUUUACACUGCUCUUAUACUUGAGGGUCUGUGGAAGGACUGUGAACCAACCCCAGACCCUGGAAAAGUUGCAGAGGAGGCUACCAAUGGCUGGUGUUCUGAAUUCUCCUUUAGGAAGUUGUCCUGUGGGUGCUGGAGUCGUCGUGGGGUUUUUACUUCAUUUGUCACUACGUGUAAGGGAGAUUUCUGACAGUUGCAGCAGUACUGAGUGUGCCUACUUGCUGUCUUUAGAAUAUUGGGUGAAUUUUGUCCUUUUCGUUGUGCCUUCUUGUUUAACGUUAAAUAUCUUACAUGUAGGUGGUGUAACAGUGCAUAUUUUGGUGUAUUUGCUCUGGUUAGUUUGGACAUUUGAAAUCUUUCUGACAAAGCCACAGAGAACACAGCACAGUGCACGCUCCUCUUGGCAGCCUGUGGAGCUGGCAACAGAAAAAGACAAAUAGAGGUUUUCAUAUUUUAUCUUAGUAAUUACAUGCUUCAGAGGCCACAGGACCAUAUUUAAUGGCUUUAAGUACACUGUGGAAAUAAGAAAGAGGAACGUGGUUUUGGAAGAAUGUGUAAGUUGAGAAAGCUUUAGUCCACCUAAAAGCCUAUCUGUCUUUUAUCUUACGUUACCGUGUGCUACAAGAAGAAAUAGCUUGUCGGUACUGAUGUUUUUCAACUUCUCACAACAUAAUUCCUGCAGUUCUGAGAUAGCCCUUCUGUUUACAUACCAAAAUUGAGUUUGUCUUUUGUGGCAAAAGUUGUAAAAUACGAAGCUAACCUAAUAAUGUGUGUGAUGGUACCACACAUAUGUUCGACUGCCACUGUGAAUUAAUGUUUCCUAGUUCUCCAGUCCAUCAAAUACUUGAGGCAACAGAUGUUUUCUGUUCUUGAUAAUUUGUGAAAAGGCCUUUAGCCACUUUAUUUAAGGAAGAUGCAAGAUGAUAUAUGCAGUUUCAUACACGAGAAAAUUGUGUUAAGUAGGUAGCUAAAGUUGAUUUCAAGUGUUUUAGCUAAAUUAAUGCAACAACAUCUUACUGUAGGCAAAACGUUUCUCUUUACAAGAUCUGCAGUUUUGCUUAGCUGAGUUCAGAUAUAUUGUUAAAAGAGCAGUCAUGCAGAAGAAUUUUAAAUAUACAGGUUUCUAAGCAGUCUGAAUUAAAUUGUUUUCAUGUGCAUGGCAGACUUGACACUUUUUGUUACUAGAGAGCAUUUGAAAAAAAAAACUAUAAAAACACAACAGCCCAUUUUAGCUGGAAAUGGGAAUAAGUAGCUGGCGAUUUAUAUACUAAAAACUGGAGUCUGUACCUGAGAAAAGUGCAUAAGAAUGUGGUAGUAUAUCUUAUGUUGGUAUUAAUCUCUUAACUCAGUUUCUCAGAAUCAAAACCUGGAAGGCGUAAAGUACUGCUAGAAAGAGAUGUGAUUAUAAGCUCUGGUUUAGAGCUGAGCAAUUUAGUAACAGCUUGAGGUACUCUUUUGGUCUGAAAACCUAGAUGGGAGCUUUUUUUGUAGUGAAACCUGAAACCAGAAUAUGCUCGUGUAUUUAACGGUUCAUUAACCACUGUAACUUGUCAUAAUUUUGCAAAAUAUCUCAAACUUUUCCAGUUUAUGUAAAUUUCAUUACAGCCCUCUCCUGAUGGUUUACUAAGGGAGAUAUAUAGUUUUCACUGAAGAUCAGCAUGAGGGUUGUGUAGAUUCACAACCUGGGAUUUUUGUCUUGAUCUGCUAAUGACAAGUAAUUUACGCAGUAAAGAUGGUCACAAUUUCCUUCUGCUGUCACUCAUUUACAGAAAGUGGCACAGUUUUAAGUGUGGGCCUUGUUACCUUGUCAACAACUCUAUCCUUUAAAAAAGGUCUGAAACAUUUUAAAUCCAUGAAAGUGCAUUUGCUUGGAGGUAAGGGUCGUGCUGCUUUUCUGUUCUGUGGGUGAUAAAGCAGCACAAGAUGGUUCUGUAGAUAAGCACUUCAUUUUGACAGACUUAAUUCAGUGAGGAAUUAAUCAGUGUCUCCCUCCAAACUUGUUUGCAUUUACUUGAAUGCUGGAAGUGACCACCAAACCAAACAUUAGUAACACUACAAAUACCAGAUUUGCCAAAUCAUGGUCUAGCUGGAGUUGGGCAGCUUCCCACACUUCUAUGCCCCCCUCACAACUGUAAUUACAACUUCCCACUCUUCUUUUGGCAUUCUCCUUGCUCCUGUUCACGCUCCUCUCACUUUAUUAAUGGGCUUCUGUAUUUUUUUUUUACUGAGCUACUGGCCUAUGACUACAUUCCUUUUUCUUUAGUCUACUCCUAAUCAUUGCCAUGGAUACAAACUUAGUUGAAUUAAAUACUGACAACAUCUUCACAAAGAAUAAUGACCCAGUGAUGUACAAGACAAAGCACAUGAGAAGUCAAAGUGAUUGUACUGAUGGGUUUUAUUGAAUACUAAGCAGGGUAUGGGAGGGUUCUUGGAGGGACGCCUUUGCUACAACAUCAGCAUAGAUAGGUUGCCACAUCCAAGUUUUUCUUGCAGACUAUGGUACUCAGCAUUUUCUUCUGACCUUGUCAAACCAUGUUUUGUUCUUUGUUCAGUGUCAAAUACAACCCUAAAUUACCAAUACCAAGAUGUCUGCUUAACUUUUUCUAAAAGACUUCUGUUUGCCCAAGUGCCUAAGAGGUAAUAAUUAAUAUAUCUAAUGAGAGAGUAUUUGUCAAGUGAACAAAGGUGCUGAGCAUCUAGGCCCCACAAUUAAGCAUUACUUUCUUGGAAAGUACUGUUAAAUCUAAUGCAGGAAACCCAAACCCCUGUUUCCAACCUAUCAGACACAGCAUUCAGUGCAGUGUUUUGGGUUGGUGAGUUCAGGGUGACGUGGGCUCUGGUGACCAGCAGUGCCUUUGUGGCGCUGCCAUUUCUAGAGGCAUGUGCUGAGUUUGGCUGCUGCAGCAUGAGGACAGGACACAGGCCAAGUGUGUCCCAUCCACCUGCCGAGAGCUGAGGCAGCUCAGAGGACACCUCAUGAGUGAGCGGAGAGAUCCUGUGGUGCUUCUCACCUUGUGAGUUCUCAAAACCUUCAAACUGAUAGUCAGGAGAUGAUGGGAUUAUGGGUGCUUUGUGGCCCAUCAGUGUGGGGCACAGUGCAAACUGCUGCCUCAGCCAAACCUACUCAUGUCGGUCCUAUAAUUCAUGACCUUUGUUGUUGGAGGAAACUCAGCGCAGUCCUCUCCAUCCUCUCAAAAUCUCUUUUGUCACCCAUGGAACUUGGCUGAGUUGCCAGUAUUUCCUACCAAAGGAGCGCAGGCUGCCAGCCCUGCGCCGAGAAGCACAUUUCUCUUGGUGUGCCCAGGGUCUCCUCAGCAGGCUGAUGCUGCUGGGAGGUGCCAUGUCCUCUGUCUUCCCAGGGGUUUGUGAGAUUCAAUCAGUCUUAGGAGAAUAACCUGUGGUUAAAUGACAAAUACCUGAGAUACCUUCUGCCACUCUGGAAUGAUAGGGCAAUUGAAGGUCUUCAUCAUGCUGCGAUGAAAUUAGUCAUGGUUUUUAAAUGCUCAGGACUGUCAAUGCAGCCUUGUUCAUCUUUGACAAUAUAGGUUGUAAUUAUGUCAAAGAUUCAGCAUUCAGGAAUGACUGUGGCAAGAUCAGAAGGAGCUGGUUAUGCUGCUAUUCAGAAUUACACCUGUCCCUAGCUGCUGCAGUUGCUCUAAAUGCUGUGUCCUGGUAUGUCACCCUGGUUGAACUUCAUGAUUAUAUGUUUGGAACCUGAUAUGGCUCACUGAUGAUAUUUACUCUUUUAAGCUUCUCUAGCAUUAAACCUUUGAGGAAUGUGGAUAAUAUACAAAAGCUGAGUGCAGAAAUAACUUAAAGAAAAGAAUAUUAACUGUUCAAUAUCAGCUUUAACUAUUUACCAAAAAUGCUGUUUCGAGACUAUUGUAUCGGUUUCCGUCUUUACUUGUGGUAAGUCAGGGUAUAACAUCUGAUUUCAAUUCAGUUAUUCUUCCCUCUUUCUCUCCAUUGAAUAAUACUUCUUACCUGUAACGCUGAAUCCCGCAGUACAGGAGAAUGAGGGACUUUUUGUGGGGACCUGUUAGGCAUGCUGUCAAAUUUUCCAAGGAUGCUUCUAUAAAAUGUCUUCAAACAUCAACCUUCUUUAGGAAUUCUUUUGUAACAUGUUGGAAAGUACCUGAGUUAUAGUUACCACUGCUCUUGAGAAAGAAUCCAGGGUUGACUGUUUUACAAGAUCAAUCUCUAAGACAUGCUACGUUGUUUCACAUCCAGAAAUUUCCUUAUUUACUAUAGAAGGCAAUAAUCUGAAAAGGAAGUAGGAAAGAUGAACAGAAAGGAGAAAGAGUAGGUAGUCAGGGAGUGGGGUGUAUCAUAAAAAUGCCAGUGCACUAUAAUUACUUAUCCAGAACCGCUUUUUAAGCAGCGUUACUGUGGUAGUUUGAGUUGUUAACAUAGUGCCCUGCAGCGCUGCUCACACUUAAACCAAGGACUGGUUUAAGGAAAUUCAUCUUGUAAAUUCUUCAUGAGCGUGAUUUAUUCAUGUGCAAAUAUUUGCCCAAUGUUAUAUAAUGAUUUUGACUAUUGUGAUUAUCUCUUUAAGGGAAAGGACAGCUUUCCAUUUUUGUGAUUUUUAAAAAAACCACCACACAUUUGGUCUCCUGAUUUUGAGUGAUGCUUGAGAGCUAGCCAUUGCAAUGAGUCUUUGUUUCCCUUGACGCCUUCAGAAGCCUGGUUAAGAAUAUGCGGCCAUUAAUCUUUCAGUCUGUAUGGGACCGAUCAGUUGAUUGUCUGGUUAUGUAAACAUUUGCAUUUUGAGAAUAUUGAGUGCUCUUUAUCAGUAACAAAUCACAUUAUCGUCAACUAGAGAUCUAUCAGUGUUGUCACUCAAGCAGACCACCCGCUGCUUUGGCUUUUAUAAUUUCUUUGUCAGAUAUUUGCAUAAUAGAAGACAUUAUAAUAAGAAUCUACUUUGAAGGGAAGGAAUUUCCCUAUUUGUGCAGAUCUCUGGAGUCUUGAUAUACUAUUUAUUAGAUGUGGAGUUUAAAACAUCUGUGUUUGAACUGAUCAACUAACAUUACUCCUGGGGGAAUAAAUCUAUUCUCUUAUUCUCGAUUUUAACCUUUCAUAAGCCAGUUGAACAUGCUGCUCGGAAAUGGAACAGGUGUGGCUUUCUCAGCCCUUCUGUUCCAGAUAGCCCAAUUAAAGUGAAAUGUGAGGGGUGGUUGCUCCAGAUGAUACGCUGAUCCAAAAUUAAACAGCUAAAAAUAUUGAAUAGCUUCAUUAUAGCAGGGUCCCAUAUGCUUUUUGCAGCUAAUAAGGGAUGGUUUAAAUAACAAAAUUCAGGAAAUAAUGAACUUGGUAAGUGCUCUGAGGCACCCAGUGUGGGACUUCUCAUGCCUCUGUAAGGCCUGUCUGAAGCAAACGGACCGACCUGCAAGCCCAUCUGCAGGUUCUGUGUUCUGUGAGCAUGGGAGGAGCUGGAGGAGUCGCCUUAUUCAUAACUUGAAAUUUCACGUUCCCCCGAGGCUCUUGUGCCUCUAGGAUCACUUUCAGCUUGUGAUGUGGAUGCUCAUUCAGGACAAGGUGCUUCGCUCUGUGCCCUCACUGGCCUGUGUCUGCAGCACGUGGAGCUGCCGCCGCCUUUCUACAAUGGGAGCAGAACGUGUGGCAAGACUGGGAGUGUCGCAUCAAGUGUCUUGGAUUACUUCCACUCUAAGAAGCAAAAUCUUAAUUCAUGUGAAUGACUCGCCUGGUGUCAUUUAUGUUGUGAAGGGAGAUGAGGCUCUAUGACCUUGAAACAUCGAGCCAGCAAGGAAGAGUUUCCUGCAAUGUGAAGCACUACUCAGUUAAAUACAGCCUGGGAUAAAUCUGUCUUCUCUGAACGCUCCAGGGUUAUUUUUUUUCCCAUGGAUAGUCUUGUCCUUUUAAAACUAGAUUUAUUUGUAUUUCAGACUGCUUGGAUUACAAAGAAAAUGGAGACUUACUUUAUGAUACGUCUGGUAUUUUCUAUCUUUGGUACUGACCCACUUUCUUGGCUACUCAUUCCAUUAUUCCACCCACUUCCAGUUCACAGAUACUUAUGACUAAUAAAUAAAUAUAGGUCUUAAAAGGGAGCAGAAAAUGCUGAUUUUCUUUAUUUCCCCCAGGGUCCCCAACAUUUAGCUUGUGGAGCGAUAGUGAAAUUUUUGAAGUACGUUUUAUCCUCUUGGUAUAGAAGAAGGUUGGAACAGGGUGUAAGGAAGACAUGAAAAGAUCUCAGCAACCUUAUUUCAAUUAUUCCUGACUUCGGGCUGAAAAUUCCAAGUGUUUAUUACACAUUUUGGAUAUGACCUUUAGUGCAGUAUGCUGCUAAUUCUUUGUGUUCCUUUUAAAUGAAGGAACUUUUCACUGACAGUCUAAACUUCAUCCUCAGAAAUGCUGAGCUCACAUUGGUGGCAGCAGCUCAGCUCAUUUAGAUGUGACCUACUUGAAAUUAAUACAUGUAGUGAAGUACAAGCCUGUAUUUAGAAUCACAGUGCAUGUCUCCAGAUGUUUGCAGGAAGUUGGUUGAGGCUGCACCUCAAGCUGGAGAGACUCCUGUGAGUAGCUCAUGCUAAAGUUUUCUGUAUUAGCAAACUCUCCUAAUAUAUGCCUGAAGCAGGGCCUGGCAGUCAAUUCAGGUAAUGUUUUUUAAAGAUGCUUAACAGUGAAACAGCUGCAGUUCCUGGGGUGUUUGAUGAUUGGUUAUUGAUGCUCAGUCUUAAUGUCUAUAAACAGCUCCACUGUUUUUUGAAGUGUGUGAAGUAAAAGAAACACAAGGCUUUCCAGUGUGGGCCUGUCAGGCAGCAGUUUUUCAGGAUGGAUAGGCACCAAGAAGAGACAUUUACAAGGAUUUAAGAAGUGAGCUGGGUCUCUUUAGUUUGGAGGAGAGGAGACUGAGGGGUGACCUCAUUAAUGUUUAUAAAUACAUAGAGGGUGAGUGUCAGAAGGAUGGAGCCAGGCUCUUCUUGGUGAUAACCAAUGACAGGACAAGGGGUAAUGGGUGCAAACUGGAACACAAGAGGUUCCAGUUAAAUUUGAGAAGAAACUUCUCUCAGUGAGGGUAACAGACACUGGAACAGGCUGCCCAGGGGGGUUGUGGAGUCUCCUUCCCUGGAGACAUUCAAACCCACCUGGACACCUUCCUGUGUAACCUCAUCUGGGUGUUCCUGCUCCAGGGGGGGAUUGGACUGGGUGAGCUUUUGAGGUCCCUUCCAAUCCCUGACAUAAUGUGAUUCUCACUUAGCAAGUUUAUUAAUUAUAAAGAUGAAGGGGCAUUUAUAAAUUGGCCAGCUGAUUCAGGCAGUGAGAAAGAAGAUGCAACUUUCUUGCAGUUAAACUUUGUUUUCAGUUUUAUGUGGUUUUUAGAAAAGCUGGACAUGACUGCUACUCCAUGUUCUUUAAGCGGGGAUUCAGUGGAGUUGUGUGCUGUGUCUCAAGAUAGCCUGCUGCUUUUUCUCUUUGUCCAUUGUUUUAAAACCUCUCUGUUCCAAAAGAAGUGCAAGGCCCAGAGGUCAAUAUGAACAAGAUGUGAAGGAAAGAUCUCAGGAAUACUCUGUCCCUUGCCCAGGCUCACUUCCAGCUGGCUGUUGUGUCCCGUUGGUGAGUUAUGCUUGCCUGUCUCAGGCAAAAAAAAUCAGGCUUUGCCAUUAUCCUGUAAGGAGCUGCAAAGGUACUCCAUUGGGGGCUGGGAAAAGGCUACAGAACAAAAAAGAUAAUAGAAAUUGCUGUGAAAAUUGUGAUUCUUAUCAGGGCAAUAGAGUCAUAACAGAUGUUUAGGAGCAGAGCAGUUCAUUUGCCAACACAGAUUUUCUGCAGUGUUUCUUACUUAUUAGAAUAUUUCAUUGGGUGUAACACUGAGUCUUCAAAGUUGUGUGGAGCAGUAAAAAAUAAUCUUGCCAGCCCAUUGUGCAGUUUACUCCACUGUGCUGCCUUUCCCAUGUAAAAUACAUUUUUUUUCUUGGAAGGUGAUCAUCUGCAAUGCUAAAGCUUUACAAACAUGACUUUGCUUAUGGCAGUAGCUGUUUAUUACAACUGAUGUAGAGAAGGAAAUCAGAAAAUGCUGUGGCACAAUAAGCCAGCCAGCAGGUGAUGAAUUCAUGCCUGCAUCGCUCAGAGUACUUUGAUUGAAUUUUUGUUCUUGGGAAAAUCUGAAAAUGUUUUGUGCUUAAACACAAGUCUCUAUCAUGUGUUUGCCUUUUUUUUUUCCCCCACUUUUUUUCACCCCACUGUUUUGGUUUCUUUGGGUUUUUUCUUUUUUUUUUUUUAAGUUUCCCUGGCUAGCGAUUAAAAUUUAUGUUCUAAAAAGGCUUCCGAACAAAAUACAGCAUUUUGUUCGCUCAUACAAUGAAUUGUAAUUUUUAAUUUCUUUAUUAUUGUAAUUUUUCUACCUGAAAGCAGUGUGUCAAAUGACAAUUCCUAUACUUUGUUCAUCAAAGAGAGCAGAACCCAUUGGAUGGAAAACAUGAUCCAAUGCAGAGCGUAAGUACCAGGAAGCACAGAAGGUUAGAACAUAAGUGAAAUAUUUUUUUUGUGAAAUAUUCUUGCUUUCUGCCUCCCAUAUAUUGUACGCUGUGGGCUUCUUUUUGUUUAUGGUACUCACUAAAUUCUAAAUUUCUCUCACCUGCUUUGUGUUGGCUUUCUUGUUCGUGCUUUUGUGUCUUGGCUUUGGUGAGAAUGAUGCUUGCUGCUUGUGUUUUACUGACAUCGAUUUCAAGUGUUUGGUGAAGCAGCAAAAUCUAACACUAUUGUGUUGUACAGAUCAUAAGUGCUGACAGGCUGUGUUCAGGAGAGAAGCUGAGCUUAUCUAAUUUGCUCUAAUGUCUGUGCAUGUACUUCCCACUGCUGAUACAAAGCACUGUCAUUAGGGGAAAGCGGAAAACCAAGUGCCAAGUUUGUUCCUGUGUAUUGUGGUCAGAUGGGUUAGAUCAAGGAUGAAUUUGGCUGAGGCUUUUUAUUGUCAUAAGUAGCUGCUGGACAUAAGAAUUUGAUCAGAAGUGUCAUCUUCUGUUGUCAGCAAUCUGCUUCUGGUUUCAAAAGUUUCUGCCAAGUUCGGGCUUGGGUUCUGACUGUAUCACUGCUGUGGUGCUGCUGACUGUGAACUGGGUCCUUAUCCCUGUUUUCAUGUAUUUUUUUUUUUUUCUGUGAUCCCUACCUUCUUAUCAUAAAAAUACAGUUAAAUACAAGAUAAAAGUUAAUUAAUUUCCCUGGUCUAAAAAAUUCCUGUGACUCUGGAAGAAUCAGGAUUUUGUUCAAGAGCUUUUUUUCACCUAGACUUUUCUAUUAUCUGAGUAAUUAAUGGGUGAUACAAACUUCAUGAGAAAUGUGUCUGCUGCCACAGUUAACUGUACAUAAGUAAAUCAGAGGAUCUCUUAGUUAUUCAGUAUACUCUUUUAUGUUUUUUGUGAUGAAGCCUGUUGAAUGAUUCUUACAGCUCCCACGUGAAUAUUCGAUUUGGCCUGCUGUGGAGUAGAAGUCAAAAGCUAUAACCUUGAUGUGGGAGAGCUAUUACUCUGCAUCGUGCACUCUGGCCUCUUACCAGUUGAUUCAAUCUGCAACCUGUUAGUUUUGAUGGAUGAAACCAUUGAGGGUGAAGGCUGACCUUGGGAAUAAGUGCACCACGACCAAAGGUGAUGUGGAGUAAGGUUUGUGCCUUAGUUACAGUUAUCAAAUUUGUGCAGCUUUCUAUGGCUCUUGUCUCUCAGCUUCACUGCAGACCAACCGGCUUGUGCUAAAGCUACAGAUGACAGUGAAAUUCUUUGGAAAAUUGAUAUAACAAAUAACCUCUCUGGCCUGGAAGGCUCUCAGUGUUUUUUGAUCAGCUGAGGCUAGUGUAGAAGCAAUUUUAAUGCAGGUGAUCACCUCCAUAGCUUUCACCUUCCGAAGAGAGGGAAGAGAGGAGAAAAACCUGAGGAACAGUUGGAAAAGCAGAGGAUAAAUACAAGUAGGUUGUAAUACAGCAUCUCAAGUGCACAAUGAUGAGCACGUAAUGGAAAGGGCAUGUUCCUUGCCACACAAUUAAUUACGUUGCCUUCUUGACAGCAGUUAAUUCCCUUGUCCACCGUGUCAAGAAAUGCCCCAUUCAAGAAAAUAAUUAAAUAAGAUCUCUUAACAGUGGAGAUUUAGUGUCUGGAUUGUAUCUCAUAAUAUUUUUGACAGUACUCAGCAAUCAAUUCAGCGAGUCCGUGUCUCAAGGGGCUGUUCUUUUGUUAAUAAACUUAGGUCGCCUUCCAGCUGCUGCAGAACUCAGGGUUAUUUUAUACAGAUAAGAAAUGGCUUUUUCAUUUUAAUGUGCAUGACUUGUGUGUAUCUUUGCUUCAAAAUCAAUUAUUUGUCACGUGGGAAGUAUUUCACUACCAGCAGGGGUUGUAACUGCUUUGGCUUUGUAUUGUGUGGUUGGCAGCUGUGUUACCUUCUGUCUGAUAAGAAUGAAAAAAAAUAGAAUAAUAAUAAAAUUAGCUUUUUUUACUUGAGGUUUCUGUUUAAGUAUGUGUAAGAAUAAUUUGCUGUAGUUCUUUAUCUAAGAAAUAGUAGGGGUAAAUAGGGGUAACUUAAUAUGAAGACAGGAAGCUUUUACUAAAUGUUUGGUAAGUCUCCAAGAGGAAGUAAUGGAGUAGUUUAUUGUUUAAAAUGUGGUUGAGAAAGUUCCCUGUCUAGCUCUUUUUCAAUACCUAAAGGUAAAUGUUUGUGUAUUCCUUACAGUGAUCUUUGAUAUAUAAGGCAAGUACAUUGAAAAGUGGAAGGCAUGCUAAAAUCUCCUGUUCUUCUCCCAAAGGGCUGGAUGUGGAAGCUCUUUUCUUUCCUGAGAUGGCGAAGAAAUAUUCAGUAGACAUUCCCUCUGCACCUCUAGUCAAUUAAAUGCUUAAAUUUCUCUAUGUUCCUCAUAUUUUAUAUUUCAUAAAAUCAAUUUAACAACUUACUGCUGAUGUUCUUACCGUUUAAGACCGUAGAUUGUUUUUUAAAGCACAGAGAUGCUGCGGAACGGGGUCAAGUAGGCAGGUGACUGAGGAAAGUUCUCUGGCCUCUGUGUAGGACCUGGAGGUGGGUUCUUUUGCUGCCCUAAUUUGUGUAUGUUCCUGUGUUACCAUGAAACUGGUGAGGAGCAAGUUCUUUCUUGCAUCUCAUUUUGCUUUUUAUGGUCUAAUAUUGUGUUUUGCGGAUUCUGGAACAGUUUGUUGAACUCUUCAAGCACCAGAAAUACUACGUGUCCCAGUUAUGCCGUGAGCAGGAAUUCAUCCCCAAAAAGCGCUGCUAAUCAAUCUGUGGACUGAAAGUUGUUCAAUCCCUUCUCCAGAUAUGCUUACAGACGUUUGAAAAACUUAUGAUUUUAGAAUUAGAGGAAGUAUCAAUUAGAUUAAUUCUCAGUUUAAUGGGUGCCAGUCAGGUUGAGCUAAGAGAAAUCUAGAACUUAUUACUCGAAUAGGAAGAAAAUAUAUGCAUCUGAAAUCAAGACAAUAUCAAGAUCUUUGAGAACUUUUGCAAUUGAAAGACAUUGGCUGGCAAAGAAGAUAUUUUUUACAAAAGCACAUGCUCUCCUUUCAGUACAGCUAGAAUUCCUGGUCAGAACACCCCUUUGUAUGAUUUAUGUAACAUGAAACUUUACGUGGGUGCUACUUCUGGUGUAAUAGGAACAGGGUUUUUUUGUGUGUGUGUUUGGGGUUUUUCUGUGGCGUUCAUCUUAACUAAAGGACACAUACUUGGGUAGGAAGGAAAAUUUGGGGAGUUAUGAUAGCAGAGCUUUGGUACUUAACUGUACUACAUCUGUUAGUAAAACUCACCCAUGUAUUUAUUUAAGUCUGUAGUCAUUCAUGUUUCAGGUGUUAUAUUUAUGCACAAAAGCCCAAAGAUAUCUUGCAAAAGUCAUUUGUUUUGCAGCAGUUUUACAUUUUUUAGUGUUUAACUGCUGAUCUCUUUUGUGCCAAUGAUUUGUAAAAUACGAAAGAGAUUGUUUUUCAUUUUUGAUCUUUCAGCUGCAAACUCAAAAUCACAUUCCAUGUUUUAAUGAUUGUAAAGAGUGAAUGGUAAAGCUAUAGAGUCUCUAGAAAUAAAAAAAACAUGUCCAAAGUGAUUGAAGGAGGGGUGCAAUCAAAUCACUGAACACCGAGGAUUGUUCAUGGAUAUGGGUGUAACUGUGAAACAACCAGGCGUAACUGUAAAACAACCAGGGCAUGUUCCCACCUUUGUAAUAACCUUUCAGUAUUUUAAGAAUACUCUGAAAGCGAAUACUACAAAAUGCCUUUUCAGUAUCUCUACCCUGUUUUGUCAAGAUGACAAAGUGCUUUACAAACUCUGAGUUGCCUGCCACUGAAAAGCAGCUGCUCCUGUAGUGAACUGCAGUCUGAUGAGCGGAGAAAUGCAGGAGGGAAACUGAGGCUGGCCAGAAAACAAGUGUCAGAAUGAAUCAAAGCUUCUAGGUGAGAGUUAGGAAGGCCAAAUACAAAUACUUGAACUGGAAUGUGGGCAGGAAAUGAACUGUCUUAUUUAAUGCUUUAGAAAUAAAAUGCUCUUAACCAAGAAUGAUCAGAAUAUGGCUGAUGUUGUGUUUCGUCUGAAAAAAUACUGUCUGCAGUGCAAUGAGCAGCAGGGCCAAAGAAAGACAUCCGUUUGUACUGUCUCAGAGGAGUUCUGGCUCUGCUUUCCCCGGGCAUUCCACUAAUGGAAGUUUCAUGUUCAAAUACUCUUAAAGCCUGAAGCAUCUUAGUUGUUGACUUGGCAAGAUACAAAUGGUAAGUCACUUCAUGCAGAUUACUUACUGCAGAUAGGACACAAUUAACCUGUGGUAAAAUAGCAGAUGUUUUUGCAUCUUUUCUUAGUCCAUCAGAAGUUUUGUAAAUGGUUUCCCAGCAUAAAACUUCAUAAUUAAUAUUUGUAAUGUCAAAAGUACCAUCUUCUUACAUAGGCCUCAGCUUGAGUCUGCUCUGUUUCUUUAGUAGCCCUCUGUACUUUAUUUUUCUCGAAGUUGAAAACUUGUUCUUUUGUCAGCAAUACUGCAGUUGAGUAUUGUAAGAGGAGGAAAGAAGCUACAGGGAAGACCAGUGUAUCUCAGUUUCAGCUUUAUUUGUGCUAAACUCAUACAAUUUUCCUCAUCCAUUUAACCUGAACUUUGUAUUAAAUUAGGUAUGGUUUUAAAGUAUGACUGCCUUUCAGAGCAUGUCAGCUAAAGGAUUUAAAGGUGAAAGGUGAGAUCAGUUUUAUGCAUUACUAUGUGUAUCACUUCCCAUAAGUAUUAAGAUACUAUUCACCACUUUUUGUACUCUGUUCAAUCCACUGAUAACAAAGAAUUUCAGCAAGAAGAGAGGUUUAAAGUUUUGAAGGGUUUGAAGUUUUGUAUGAAGGAGUACAUGGAAAGCCAUUUCAUUUAUUCAAAGACCACAGUUCAGAGAUCUACAUAAAGAUGUGAUGUUUAAACAGAAUAAUUACCCUUCUUUGUUUAAAAAAAAAAGAAAAAUGUCAGAAUUCUUUCUUGCAAUUAAACCCUUCAUCUUAUGCAAAGACUUCCAUUUGAUAUUACUGAGCUUUGAAAGGAUCCCCUCAAACUUGUCAACACACCCAGACCUGCAAACAGGAGAAGUACUUCAAACCUGGGAGACAACUUUGGGGUUGGUGAACCUGCCUUUCGGCAGGCAGUGGUGAUUAAAAAUGGUGGUAGAAUAAGAUAUGAGCAAAGUAUUUUGGGGGCACUGAAAAGUCUGUUUUCCUUUCCACCCCCUUGGCUCAUUCUCUUAAUGCCUGUUUACAGCGUGUGCGAUGCACCUUGCCCAGGUUACUUCUGCUUGCUUUUCUGACCUGGAAAGCCUGAUAGUUUGAUUACCUUCAUUUCACUUCAUUGUAAAGUCACGCUAAUCCAAAUUAAAUAUUUAACUCUCUUGAAAUUCCGUGUGUGUGUGCCACACUGGAGUUGUGGCUUCAAUCCCGUGUUAAACCUCAAUGUGGUAACUCUCGUGCUACAAUCCAGGAAUGGUGGAGUAGGAUGAAACUUUGCUUAGUUGUGGCAGCAACUUCCACAGCUGUCAGAAGGUCUUGGAGAAGGGAAAUUGUUGACUAAUAUUUGGUGUUAGGAGAGGUUCCUGAUGAUGACACUUAAUUUUCUUUUUUAGCCCAAUAUGCUCAAGUCAACACCAGUCCCUGGCCCAUGUGGUGUAUCUUUUGUUAAUAAAGAUGUAUUGAACACGUACACAGGUUAUUCCCAGUUUAAUACAAAUCUGAUUCUUUGGUAAAAUCUCUUCUGGGAAAGUGAGCACAGUAAAAACCACUGAAUUUCAGAAUAAGACUGAUCUGUUAAUGUCACUUGCUUUAAGUUUGAAGGAGUCUUUAAACAAAUGCUUGGGUCCAAAAGUUGAAUCAGGAUCCAGAUGUGACUUUUAAAACUCUGCCUAUUCUGCUGGCUGAAACAAAUUGUUAACUGCAGUUUUCUUUUGAAGGAGAAUAAGAAAAAGAAAAACAGCAAGGAAAUGAGCUAGCAAAGGACUCAGGGUCCACAGUUCUAUUUUACAACCUGAGCUCUUUGUAGUGUUCUUUACAUCUUCUCCUUAACUUAAGUUACACAUAAAAUAGUCUGAUCUUUUGUGCUUGGAAACAGAAACCUUGGCUGGUCUUUUGUGUUGCCUGGGCUAUUUCCAUAGAUUUUAUGAAAAUCUUUCUAAAGAAAAAAAGAGAUUGAAAUGACCAACAGUUUUCAUGUUGAAAAGCCUGACUUGUAGCAACAUUCUCUAUCUCACUCGUAGCCCCUGCCUUAUAAUUUCAUUUUGUGUUGUUUGCAGUGUCAGAUGUGGGUUUCUUCUAUUGAAAACUGAUGCCUGGAAACUUGAAGCCGAAUAUAAUUUAUUUUUUCAUUCCAAGUUUAAUUUAACAGUAAACUGGGGCUACGAACACAUUGUAAUUUGGCUUCAUUACUAAAUCCUAAAAAUGUCUUAAUAUUUUUCAGUGCUUUGAAGACGUUUUUGGCCAUUCUGUGGUUUAUAAUGCCGUAAGUAUGGAAGCAUAAUUUGUAAUUCUAGAUUUUGAGAAAGGUUUCUCUCUGUUCAUUGGCAAUAGGAGUUCAGCUAUCCAGAAAAAAUACUUAUACUCUGCCUUUUCAAUGUAUAUUUUUGUGUAAGUACAUUUUUAUCAGGUAGCAAUUUAGUGGCUAAUUUCUAACAGCCAUAAAAAGCUCUUUGGAAACUUGUGGAAUUUCACUGCUGUAAAACAUAAAGCUCCCAAAAGCCCCUCUUGGUGAUUUCCAUUAGAUAACAAUCUUCAGUUCUUUAGGCAUGUAGGCAAUGUGGUUAAUGGCCAGCGUGUUAGAGCCUGAGUGAAUGCGGCUGAUCACUGAGGACAAGCAGCUUGCCAAAAUUAGCGUUUCACUCGGCUUUUGCAGCAGAGAUGUGUGUGCCACCGUGCCCGGCACGUUUGCUGCUUCUCUGAUUGUUCUCACAGUGCCUUUUGAGGCAGAUUUUGUAAAUAAUAUCUAAGAUUUAAAUUGUCACAUGCAGUUCAAUAUAGGUGGGAAUGUUUAGUGCAAGGGUAAAACUGAACAGAGUGAAGUGGUGCGUAUGAAUAGACAGAAGGCAUUAGCCCAAUUUGUAACUAACCUUGUGUCUGUGACAGAACUGAGUACCAGCAUUUCUUACCUCUGUGAAGGGUUUGACUGUGAUCCCGUGGGCUGUUCUAAACAUCUGAGGUCAGGCUGAACGCAGGGCACAGCAAGUACCGGCCUGAUGGCACCAUGGUCCUGUUUCCGCAGGGGAAUGGAGAAACCGGGAUCUGGAACAGCUCAGCUCCUCUGGUAUGAAUGUCUGUCCUCACCUCCCCAGCUGAGGGGGGGUGGGAGAUGAGCUCUCCCACUUGUUGGGCAAAUCGUGCUUACCAUCAAGCACUUUAAUCAUUGCCUUGAUUACUGACAAAUGUUGGGCACCAUCAUCCCAAGUCCCCUUUCACAGAUGGUACUUGGGGAUGAUUAUCAGGGGAUGGGCAUACCCAGACUUUCCCCUUUCUGUGUUCUUCCUGGCCUGGUUGCAGUUGUUUAGAUGAGCUUGAAACAUCAUCCUGAAAUGCCUUUGAGGACUUCCCAUUUCUUCAGUGACUCUGGUAUUUUUUGUUAGUUCUGUGCAUUUAAGAAUAGGAAUCUCUCUUGUUUUUAAUUUUCUUCAGACUUAUUACAUAGCAUCAACAUUUUGGAGUGUUGUAUGCAAAACCUGCCACGUUUUGUUGGAAAAAUAUUGCUUGUCUCCUGUGUGGGGGUGUGAGGAGCAAGUAACUUUUCUCUCUGACAUCUGUGCAGCAGCCUGAAAAUAGUGAGCAGAAGUUGGUUGCUUCUGUAUCAGCUAAAUGAAUUUGUUUGGGCAGAUCAAGUGUUUAGCUCUGUUGAAGCCAAUGGUAUUAGACGGGACAUGUAUUCUGUUGAGUUUUGCAAAAUUUAUUGAGUUUGGCACCUGAACACUGAACUGGUUCAUGACUCAGCUUCCACAUCACCUGAUUUAUUUAGGUCUUCAGCCUGUUGUAAUUUGAAUUGCUAACUAUACACAGUGCUGCAAUUGCUGUUAAGAUUUAAGCAGAUCUCCUGAUCUGGAGGCUUCCUGUUUGUCACCCUUCAGGUAUCUCAUUUUUACUCUGGUAAAAGUUAGGUACGCUAAUCUUCCAUGAUUUCCACUAUAAAUUUCACUGUGUUUGAGGUUUUCCUGUCAGCUAGGUUAAAUAUCAUUCCACAAUGAUUACUCACUUGCAUCCUUAAUGUUGAAAUAAUUUAUGAAUUCUUGAUAUACUUUAUCUUACAUUAAAUUAAUUGUAGCUUAGGUCUCUUUCUGUGGUGGUAUUCUUCUCUGUAUCUUCUGGCUCACUUUUUAAAGAUCUGAAUAUUGUUAUAGUGACGAAAGGCAAUAAAAAUACAACAAGGCAAAACUGCAUAAUGGAUAAAAGAAGGCUGUUAUUGAAUGCAGACUUUUGAAACUUUCUUGUUAUCUGCCCUUACUCUUCUUAACUCUUGCAAGCAGAAGCUUUACUCAGGUUAUCAUAUUUACUAUAACUUGGUUGCACUCCACUGAUACUGUUUGUUUGUACACUUUUACAUCUUACUAUGAGAUCCCAAAAAAUGCUGUUAUGUGUGUGAGGUCAGAAGCUUCGAGGUAGACCUGUGGCACUGAGCUUAGCUGAGGUUGGCAGGGUGCUCGGCCAGGCUGUUCGAUAAUCCACGCUGUUCGAUAAUCCACACUGUUCUUCAGGAGCAAAUUCACAGCAAAAAGCAAGCAAAGCACACAGCAGGCGAGAUGCAGGCAUGAAGGGCUGUUCCUCUAUGUCUACAAGUUAAAUCAGUGCUCGCUUACAUUGGUAAUAGCAGGUUGUAAUUUUAAUUAGUUUCUUGCCAGUUUGAAGUAAUUUGUUCUUAUGAUUUGUGUGGUUCAUCUUCAGUGAAGUGUUUCUGCUAAGAACUGAAAACUCCAAACUUCUGCAAGGCACGACCAGGACUAAAUUUGAAAAAUUAUCCCAUAAAUCUAGAAUGAUUUUUCACUCUGGAUAAUCCACUGUGUGAAGCAGGUUGCAUUUCUGUUUUACUCUGCAACCUUAGAAAAGUAUUUAUUCAGUUAUAAGACUGGGUAUAAAUUAAAUGAAAACAAAAAUCCUAGCGGCUUUGGAAAGACAACAAGUCCUUUUAAACUCCUUUCACUUUUUUUUUUUGGUGAAAGUCAGUUUUCAUAUAAGCUGAUUUUUCUCCAUUUUCUUCUUCUUAAGAUGCUGAUUAGAUGUAGCACUUAAUGCUUCUUUAAUUAGUUGUUAACCAGAAGUUGCUUGCAAUAAAUGCUACUAGUAGCUCUUCUGCCUUUGCUGACUUUCUGCAGUGUUGCAGUGUGGAUGUGUGAGACUGCAGGGAGAUUUUAAACAGGUUUGCAAUAGCGCUGGACAUGAGCUGCAAACUCCGGGUCCCUGUUUAAAGUCUUUCUCCCCUGUCAGCUCCCAACUUUAAUAAUGAUGGAAUUUGGGAAAGUAGUAUGAGCUGCUAUCUGUAAGGUAUGUGGAAGAGAUGAAGCGCAUGUGCAAUAAUAAAACACGUGUCAAAAUCUGAUCUUUGUUCUGUUAACAUGCUGAACAUGCCUUCUUUUUUUUUUUUUACAGCAGUGAUUUAUAGUCCAGCAUAACCAUGCAGAAUCACUUCAUUAUAUUUGAAUAAUGAAAAGAGUGCCAUCAAAAUGGCAUGUCUCAGGGGAGCUUUCUGAGGCAAUACUUUAAACAAAUGGCUUUUUAGAUAAAUUUAUUAUGAAGUGUGAUGAAAGCCAUUUUUCUUGGCUUUCGCAUCUUGCAAAAUCAAUGAGGUUUGUGCUGUGGUGUUUGUGUUUGGUUUUACAUCUCUUAGAUAAAGGCUAAGUCCUUAGAAACAAGGAUCGAUGUUUUGCAGGCACCAUGGGAAGGAGAUGUAAUGGUCAGCUAUAGUUCUGUCCUAUUAUAUCUGCUAAAUGUUUGUGGACCAAAUGUACAACCUAGGCCUACGAUUUGUGGGAAAUUUAUUAGUUGCUUUAAAAAUAGUUUUACAGGUAUCUAUGAACACUCAUUCAUUUUUAUUGUGCAACAAUGUGUUUUUAUGAAAUUAGAAGGAAACAGCAUUUUCUUAGAACCUGUUCUGUCAAAGGAGUAGAGGAGUGCUCAGCUUUUGUACUGGCACUUGGUUAAACUGUGCCAUGAAAAUUUACAAAACCACCCUGAAAUCGCCUAUCUUGGUAUUUGUAUAAUGUUAAAAACAACAUUUCUGUUCCUCUGGCAUAUUUAGCAUCCUUGAACCUGUUGUUUCCAUAUCUAACAUUAGUAAUAAGACAAACUUUUUUCUCAAAUAUGUUUUUUUUUUUUUGAGCUGAAAAAUCAUGGUGUGUGCCUGUGUGUUGAGGAAUUUUUUGUGCUCGAAUGCAGACACAAUUGUCUGAAAUGCUGUAACAGAUAUUAUGACAGUAAAACCAUCUUGAUUGCAACUCAGUAGACCUGGAUUCUUUUCCUGAAAUAACCACUGAUUCUCCUUGAGUCACUUCUUCUCCAUAUCAUGAAAACAGGAUCAUACAUUUGCUGCCUCUGGUGAAGAGUGGUACAAACAAAUACUGCACGAUCAGAGAGACAGAGUUAGUGAUCUCUUCCGGCAAGAUUGUUUGCAAAUUAAGCGAUUGCUGUUCAAAGAAGGUCAAAACUGACUUUACCAAUAAAGAGUGUUAAGAAUUUUCUUCCUCUUUAAGGAAUUAAAGAUUUUAUAAAAUUUAAACUUGGUAACAACUUCUAUUGGGAAGUUCAGCAGCAAGAUGCAGUGAGGUCUAACUUGCUGAACCUUAAGUAAAUGGAUAAUCUGUGCCUGUUUUUGAGCGUUCUGUAUAUUGUUGCAUUAACUUAAAAAAAUAUUCAGUCAUGAGGAAUGAGUAGAUGUAGUGUUGGUUUUUCUUUUUUUCAAAUUCCAGUUUCUCCUUUCCUACAGUAAACACAAAGCUGGCCAUGCUUAAUUGCUCCUAAUGGGCUAAUUGAUUCAGCAGCUACCAAGUGUGUGACCUGACUUCUGGUUCACUGAGCCAUCUCUGGUAUCGAGAUGAUGCUUUUAUUUCUGUUUCAUUGGGCGGGUGCAUUUUGAUCAGAGUUGUGAGAGUCGUGGCUCUGGUGGGGAGAUGUGCCCUGCACCCCGGGCAGGUCCAGCACCAAACCUUGUGCAGGGGGAAACAUGCCGGGUGUGCAAACACACCGUGUCCUGGGUGAGCGUGUGUGCUGUGUGAGAUGAGUCUGCCCUUCGCUUCUGUGUUGGACUUUCUAUUAAACUAAUUAAUCAUUCGACUUUUUGGCAUCUCGGUAAUUACUGCUGGCAAAAACUAGUCAUUUUAAUGGUUGCAAUAUACUGCAAGCACAUUUAACUUUGAUGGAAACUUUGAAUGACUUUGCUUCAGCCUCUUUGUGGGCAUUUUUACAAUUGGCUGAGGACUUACUUGGAAGCCUUUGGAGACAUCUGUGAGCUCCCAGCAACUUGAUCAUCAGUGUCAGGUGAGCGUGCGAUUUCAAGAAGCUGAUAAUUCCUCUUGUACUCAACCUUUAUCAGGCCAAGCACGUUCAAAGGGGCACGCAGAGUCUUGAUUUUGGCUGGAUCUGGUUUCCUCUGAAUUCUGAUGACCCUUCAAAAGCUGCUGUGAUGAACUGUAAUGCCCUGAAGUGGAAACCUUUUCUCCCCAUCCAAGCCAAAAUGUUUAUCACUAACUUCUCUCCCACCUCUGAAACUGUUCUUGUAGCCCCAGUCUCUCUCCCUGUUGUGUUUGCUUCCCACAGGCAGCCACUGAGAAGGGGUGAGACACCGUGGGUGGAAGUACACAGCUCUGACAUACAUCUUCAUUGCUGUCUGAAGCAUCUUCUGUUGGGAAAAGCAGCGGCCAGUUCUGAUGAGAAAUUUGUAGGCACAACAAGGCACCUGUAGCAUUCAUAAGCUUUUUUUGGUGACAAUUUGGAGCUUUUUGGUGCUUUAAUAGCCAACAAUGGAAAAUCUCUCCUCUGGGAGGACAGAUAUUUUUCCAGACUAGCACAGAUUUGAGUUGCCGUGCAGAUAAAGCAUUUGUACAGAAGACUUGCUUAAAAGAAGAAAAAAGGAAAAGAAAGAAAAUACCAACUUCUGAGCUAAUGCAAUUUUUUUCUACAGGUUUGGAAAGAGAGAAGAGUUUAAAAGAACAGCUGAAAGGCUGAUAAUGCUGAUCUGCCCAGUGGCUCUUUGGACUUUGCCAACAUGCUGUUAGCAACUGCUUGAGAACCUACGUGAUCUCCAGACUUAAGAGGGCUGCAAGGCUCAAUGCUUGAUGCAGAGUUGUUGCCAUUGAAAUUGUGUUGCUGUGCUUUGAAAUGCUGCUGUAAUUUUGGAAGCCAGCUUACCACUCCGUGGAUGCUGGAAAGCCACUGGUUUCUAUUGCUGCCUGUCCUUGGCAGUAAGAGCAUCAUCCACUUGGAAGAAGUCUACUGCAAUUCUUUGUUUUCAUCACUUUACCCUUGUCUCUGACAUUAUUGCCAUCCGUCUUGACUAGAUGAAUCAAUCGAGUGUAGCCGUGGGUGCUAUUGUUUGGUUUAUGUUUCCCUUUCAGAGCACUCGUGUGGACAAUCACAGCUGUUAAUGCAGCGGGCUGGAGUUUUAAACCUGUUGCAUGUGCUUUUCAGCUCACUGCAAGGGAACCGGUUUGACCGAAUUCACACUGACCUUGCAGAUGGAAAUAUCUGUCUAACUCAAUUACAGAACUAGAUUUGGGGAAAAAUACAGGAUUCUAGUGAAGGUUUCCAGGAAGCUAAUUCUUGAAGGAAGCGCUCUAGGGUUUUCAGCACAUAGGCAUACUUAUAGCAUUUAAAAAAACCCAACUCCCAAACUUGCUAUUUAUAAAGCUACUUAUCUAACUCUGUUUUGCAGAGUUCGAGGAAGUAAAAAUAACUUUCACGUAUGAGGUUGAAUGGCAACAUCCAUAUAAGUAAGUUUUUGUUAUAGCAGAAUCUUGCUGGUGUUUGUUGCUUUGGGUUGGACAGGAGCUCGAGUGGGUGCAGCUCUCCCCUGCGGCACAGGUCUCCUCUUCGGUGUAUGUGGCCGUAAGGGAAGCGGUAGAACUACAACAACUGAGGGAGUGAUGUCCUGGGACCUCAAAGAAAGAGCAAUGAUGGAUUUGAGGAGGAAAUUAAUGGUGUCUGGUCUGGAUUAAUGUAAUCUAGUGGUGCACACCCUGCCCUUUGGACAACCCGUUUAUCUUGUGUAGGUGGAUCCAUCAAGUACAUCUCAUUCACUGUGGAGUCAGCGUCAGAGGAGAGAAUACGCGGCUGGAGAUGGGCCAAGUUCUGGUUCUGAAUGUUUAUGCAUCUUCUCAGCUUUCAUGUUUUCUCUGGUGAUUGCUUCCGUAUCUACAAAAUUUGACAAAUAAUUGCACUUUGAAGGGUGUGCUUAAUGGAGGUCCAUAAAAAUGAUUCACAGGCGGCUGUAAACUGAACUAUUACACUAAAGGAUAAAAAGCUUCCUUAAUGAGCUGUACAAGACAGUUAUUGAUGUAUUUAUGAAAACAUUCCCAAGUACAUGGAACCAAGGGAAUUCAAAGAUAAAUAUUUAAAGAUUAGCUGACAGUUUUCACAUGUAGCAAAACUCCAGUUCAUCUAUAAGGCAGUAAAUUUAUAAAAAGUAUACAUUUAUGUGAUUUGUAACAAAAAGGAAUCAAAACUUGCAUUAAACCCAGAUGUUUUUCUCUG